GAAAGUGAACUUGGCGCGAGCGGCGUUCGUUCCGCUGUGGCCUUCGCCAGCGGCCUCUUACCGCGUGCCCCCACAAUGCGGACUUGGUAGAAAGGUGGACAAAAAUAAAAGUGUAUAUUCGGAAUGUGAAGAUUUCCGUGGACUAGCUACCUCUAUCGAGAGUGCAAAGAAAAACAACGAAGCAACGCGUCUCGAUUGCAAUGAGGUUUCUCGUUUUGCUCUGCUUGCUUUGCCUUGUUUUGGGUAGUAUUGCCUUCAAACUUCCUUUCUUCUGUCAUCUUUCCGGAAACCAGUGCGUGCCACAGAAUGAAUGUCCUAACGGCAAGAAAUCGUGGAUUAUUGGUUGCGGAAAAGGCAAUGUUUGUUGUAAAAUUGCAAAAAAGCCUGCGUGCUCGUCGUUGGGAGGAACGUGCGAAGCAGUUUGCAGCGGUCGUAUCAACAGAAAUGCUAGCUGCCCUGGACUCAAGGCGUGUUGCAUUUACAUGAUCUAGUGUGCAUGUGCCGCUGUUGACCUCCGCACAGUACUCGAGUACACCGAAGGCAGCGACGGUGACAUCUUCUGUGUCGUUCUUUUUCUCCGAUUGGACAAUACGAAUAAACUAUUGCAAAUUCUAUGAAGUCCGAUUG